rnacentral:lncRNA from 1 species
UUUCUGUUUAAAGUUGCACUGUCUUCUGUUUCCACGAGCUCCUCUGGAUCCAAAGCCUGCUGCUGCGGCGCAAGCCGCCCAUCCCCAUUCACCUCUCCAGUGCCCUCCUGCCCGAGGGCACCCAGCCCUCUCAACUCUGGCUUCAUGCCUCCUGCCCAGAACAAGUCUAAGCAUCAUCUCCACAUUUAGGCCUCGGCUGCCUCUCCCUGGCCGCCUUCUAAAUCCACUGGCCAUGUUUUCUUCUUUCUCACUUUGUGGUUCUCUUCCUUGUUUCUCUCUGUAGCUGAACUCUCCUGCCCUGUCCCCCCCCCCCCCCACAAAAAAUAAUAGUAAUUUUUCUUCCUCUGUGAACCCUCGUAAAGAAGCAUGCAGGGGUCCCGGAUUCCAUGGAAUUGACGCAGAGGCUUUGGUCACAAGCUGUCUCCUCUGCUAAGCUAAUAGUUCUUCAAUGGACCAUUACAAGGAAACUCAGCUAUUGCAUAAUAUUUGAUAGGUUAGAUCACUUGCUGUUUGGAGAGUCUUGCUAUACAAAGAUGAGAAAAGAGAGAUGGGCAAAUUUAACGCAAUUUCCUUUGUUUGCCUGAGCUAGCCCAGACUUGCAACACCACAGUGACAGUUUUUCUUGAAGUACAGCUUUAACAUCAUAAAAAAAGGACUUUAAGGGAAUGAUAAAUCAUUCUCAUCCUUCAGCUCAUUAGCAUAUCUAUCCUGACAAUACACCCCUCCUCCAAGUCCCUUCUGGCCUUGCACAGAGAAAAAUUAAAGGGAUGCUAGCAGGGGUGUUUACAGAAUCAAAAUCCCAAACACAGGGGAAAACAGCGAGGAGCAGCUCAGAUGUUUCAGUUAAAUGAAGGACUCUCUUCAAAGCAUGAACAAGAGUGGGAAUAUUUGAUGGUAAAAGAAACAACUGGCCCCUGCUAUGGCCUGUUUCCAGUGGAAUGUUUUUAUAUCCUUCUUUAAACUGAGUGGGGUCAUCUUAUUAAUUCCAAAAUGAAUGGAUAGCAUCCAAGGAAAAUAAUUGGUCUUCUUACCCCUCACAGAAAAAUUCACAUAAAUGUCUUAAAAAAAAAAAAAAAAAUGCUGGAAUUCUCCCUGCCUGCUCUCUGCUUUCCUGGCUUCUGCAUUGUGACAGCUGGAACAGAUGGCGUCUGGGUGAGACACCUUACAUCUUAAACCUCAUCCCUGGUAAGGUCUGAUUUUAACUAGUGCUGGAAUUCUAGGUCCAUCUACUCAUCAGAUUUCCAAUUUCAUGUAUUUUACAGUUUUCACACUGAUAAGGCUUAUUUUGUUUCAGCCAAAAAAUUUUUCAUCUUGGACUAAAUAUUUACAUACAUAUAGAUACAGACAGACACGGAUAUAGACACGUAUGUAUGUAUGUAUAUAUCCAUAUAUACAGUCACCACACAGUAAAAAGGCAAAUAUUUCCUUUCAUUUGCAAAACGAUUGGCUGUUCACUAUUUCGCCAGACAUCCCACACAUGAUGCAAAAAAAAAAAAAAAAAUUAUGGCUCCUCCUCAGUUGUAUGCUGUGAAUGUAAAUUAAGAAGCAGCAACAACGCUACUCAAUUCAGCCUUUAUGACUCCACAAAAAUUAAUGAAUAAAAAAUACACACACACACACACACCCCAUCUCAUUCUAAAAACUGAUUCAGAGCUUAACCCAAAAAACGUGAAACCAAACUGCUUCCUUCAAAGGACAAUUAUCUCAAGGCUCCUUAAAUUUCAAAGCACGUCCCCAACACUCCAUCCAUUUCCGUUUUGUUGCUGUUUCUAAGGAAGAUAAAGACUAUUUUUCCACACAGAAUUCCCCCC